UAAUGUUAUGUAGUAAUUACUGUAUUUACGAAUUUAUCACAAUGUAUUGAAAACAUUGACUACAAAAAUGCCUUGGAUAAUCCAGAACGUUGGAUAAGUGAGUGUUGGAUAGGUGAGAAUCUACUGUAUUAGCAUAGCACAAUAUCAGCAUUAUCUAUUACUAUAUUUUACUAUACUGCAAUAUUAUUUGCAAUGUUACAUGUAAUAUGUAAUAUACAAUAGUGUAAUAUUAUAUUGUACUAGCUGUGCCCGGCCACGCGUUGCUGUGGCGAAGUCUGGUGGUCUGGGAAAUAAAGUAUUGAGGAACUGGUGGUAGUUAAGGUAAAGGGUAAACAUUUCCCCCUGACUCUGGGGGUUGGUGCUCAUCUCCAUUUCUAAGCCAAAGAGCCGGCGAGCAGUACCUAUUGAUGCACUCACAUGUUUUUGAACUUCUGGGUUGGCAGAAGCUGGGGCUAACAGUGGGGGCUCUCUCCGCUCCUCCCAAUUCAAACCUUUCGGUCCAGAAGUUCAGCAGCUCAGCGCUUUAACACGCUGCGCCAUCAGGGGAUAUUAUUUCCUAAAAGUUGUGAAUAUACAAUAUUUCUGAUUGUUUUUUUUUGUCUGUUGGAGGCAAGAAUGAAUGCUGCAGUUAGGAAAAAUGAUUAGGAUGUAAUGGCCUUGCUGGAUUAUAUGAGGCCCCUUCUUCACAGCUGUAUAAAAUGCACACUGAAGUGGAUUAUAUGGUAGUGUGGAGUCAAGAUAAUCCAGUGCAAAGCAGAUAACAUAAAAUUAUAAAUGGGUUAUAUAGCUGUGUGGAAGGGCCUUGAGUCUACACUGCCAUAUAAUCCAGUGCAAAUUAGAUAAUCUGUGGAAGAGGCCUAAGUGAGGCCUAAGUCUGCCUGUCCCCUCGGCUGAGUCAGUUGCUAGGAGACCAAGUGGGCAGAGAUUAGCCUUCUAACUGGCAGCAAUUGGAUAAAAAUAAUUAUUCCUUUCCCUCUAAUUAGGACUUUAUUUUUCUUUUCUUUUUCUUGUAUCAACCUAGAGGCGUGGAUGAUGGGUUGUGUUGUCAAAUUUUGAGGUUGGGGGCCCUGUAGUUUUGUUGUUUUGUCGGUCGCGUGAUGCCAGACUAGCUGUGCCCGGCCACACGUUGCGGUGGCGUUGUCUGGUGGUGUUGGUGAGAAAUUGUUGAGGUAGUGGUGGUAUUGAAUGUCUGUUGUAUGGUUGUCUUUAUGUUGAGUAUGCAUUUGGUUGUUUGUGUACUGUGAAAGUGGUGAGGAUAGAGGUGGUCUAUGUCCCUGUGUAGUAUUGUAUAGUAUUUAUACGUUGUGCAUGUGUUGUGAAUGCUUGUAUUGUGUCCUGCUGCAUAGUAGAAAGGGUUGGGCUGGAUGGCCCUUAGGGGUCUCUCCAAAUUCUUGUGCCUGUCCCCUGGGCUGAAUAGGUUGCUAGGAGACCAAGUGGGUGGAACUUAGCCUUGUAACUGGCAGCAAUUGGAUAAAAACAAUUAUUCCUCUUCCUCUAAUUAGGAUUUUAUUUUUCUUUUCUUUUUGUUGUAUCAACCUAGAGGCGUGGAUGAUGGGUUGUGUUGUCAAAUUUCGAGGUUGGGGGGCCUGUAGUUUUGUUGUUUUGUCCGCUGCCCUGAUGCCAUCACUCUUUUAUAUAUAUAGAUUACAUUAUAAUAUACAUAUAUACUAUAAUCUAUUAUUAACAUAGCAUAGUAUCAGCAUUAUCCAUCUAUUACUAUUUUGUACAAGGAGCCUUCGGUGGCCUAGUGGAUUUGAAUCCCAACCGGGGAGAGCGCGGAUGAGCUCCCUCUAUCAGCUCCAGCUCCAUGCGGGGACAUGAGAGAAGCUUCCCACAAGGAUGGUAAAAAUAUCAAAACAUCCGGGCAACGUCCCCUGGGCAACGCCCUUGCGGACGGAAUAUAAUACUAGCUGUGCCCGGCCAUGCGCUGUGGCGAAGUCUGGUGGUAUGGGAAAUAAAGUAUUGAGGAAUUGGUGGUAGUUAAGGUAAAGGGUAAAGGUUUUUCCCUGAGUCCAGUCGUGUCCGACUCUGGGGGUUGGUAUUCAUCUGCAUUUCUAAGCUGAAGAGCCGGCGUUGUCCAUAGACUCCUCCAAGGUCAUGUGGGAUGAGUGCAUGGAGCAGCGUUACCUUCCUGCCGGAGCAGUACCUAUUGAUGCACUCACAUUUGCAUGUUUUCGAACUUUUGGAUUGGCAGAAGCUGGGGCUAACAGUGGGGGCUCUCUCUGCGCCCCCAAUUCAAACUUUCAGUCCAGAAGUGAGACUCUACUGUAUAUUGAUAAUCUUAUAUUAUCUGCUUAGAACUGGAUUAUAUGAGGCCCCUUCUACAUAGCUGUAUAAAAUGCACACUGAAGUGGAUUAUAUGGCAGUGUGGAGUCAAGAUAAUCCAGUGCAAAGCAGAUAAUAUAAGAUUAUAACUGGGUUAUAUAGCUGUGUGGAAGGGCCUUGAGUCUACACUGCCAUAUAAUCCAGUGCAAAUUAGAUAAUCUGUGGAAGAGACCUAAGUGAGGCCUAAAUCUGCCUGUCCCCUAACUGAACCCUGGCUGUGCUUGGCUGAAUUGGUUGCUAGGAGACGAAGUGGGCAGAGAUUAGCCCUCUAAACUGGCAGCAAUUGGAUAAAAACCAAUUAUUGCUCUCCCUCUAAUUAGGACUUUAUUUUUCUUUUUUUGUUGUUGUUGUAUCUUACUGGAGCCGUGGAUGAUGGGUUGUGUUGUCAAAUUUCGAGGUUGGGUGGCCUGUAGUUUUGUUGUGUUGUGGGUUGCCCUGAUGCCAUCACUCUUUUAUAUAUAUAGAUUUAUUUACAAGCUUUGGGGCAUGCAUUUGCCCAAGGAAGAAAUGCAAGCAAAGCCCUCCUAAAAACAACUUUGGCCUCUUUUCUCCUGCCCUUUCCCACCUCUUUUAUUAAUCCCUUUUCAAACUCUAAAAGUAGCCAGAAAAGGCUUUUUAAAACUUCCCUUCCUCUCCCAAAAAACCCACCCCAUUUUUGUUUCCUUAAGAAUAAAAAGAAAUACACACCUUCUGUUCCUCUCCUUUCCCUCCCUAUUGACUCAAACAUUCUUGCAAUAAUAGUAAUAAUAAUAAUAAUAAUAAUAAUAAUAAUAAUAAUAAUAAUAAAUCCUGCAAAUUUGCAAGAGUCUCUCUUUUUCUUCCCCUUGCACCCAUGCAAUCUUUUUCUUCUUCCUGGCUUGCAAGAGGCUCUCACUCACUCUUCUUUCGCUUUUGAAAACAUUCUCUUCUUGUUUCUCUCUCUCUUAAAAAAUAAGAUCACUCCAGCCUGGGAGGAGAAGCGGAGGAGGGAGGUUUUGGAAAAGAAAACAUACUGUAGUCUCCAGGCUCCACUGCCUGGCUUGACCUUGACCCGAUUAUAAGCCGGGGGAGGCUCUUUCAGCUCAUAAAUAAGGACUGAAAAACUCGGCUCAUCUUCGAGUAUAUAUGGACAAGAGAGUUCUCUGGAGCCACCCCUGCCGUGAUGGGAAACAAACCAGCUUCUAGUCGAUAUUAAGGCAUUUGGAAACCAAAGUGCAGUAAGGAAACCAGUCCUCUAGGAAAAAGGAUUCCUCUCAAGGGGCUGAUCCUGCUGAAUUCCUACAUUCACUUUGGAUUAUAGAGUAGAACCAUAGAGUCGGAAGAGACUGCAUGAGGCACCCAGUCCAGGCCUCUGCCGUGCAGGAAAAGUGCAAAGUGCCCCUGACAGAUGAGCAUCUGACCUCUGUUUAAAAGAUUCCAGAGGAGCCUCCACUACAUUUUGAGGCAGAGAGUUCCACUGCUGAACAGCUCUAACAGUCAGUAAGUUCUUAAUGUUCAGAUGGAAUCUACUUUCCUGUAAUUUGAACCCACUGUUGUGAGUAAUCAGAAAGGGAAAAACAAGAAUCAAGUGUCCUUAUUGGACUUAAAUAUACAUAACACUGCUGACAUGGAGGAGAAUGCAUAUAAAUGUAUCGAAUGUGGAAAGAGCUUUAGUCAGCAUGGAAAGCUGAAGAGACAUCAAAGGAGUCACACUGGGGAGAAACCCUAUACAUGCCUGGAGUGUGGACAGAGCUUUACUCAGAAGGGAAACUUACAAAGACAUCAAAGGACUCACACGGGGGAGAAACCCUAUACAUGCCUGGAGUGUGGACAGAGCUUUACUCGUAGUUCAAGUCUAUGUUCACAUCAAAGGACUCACAUGGGGGAGAAACCUUAUAAUUGCCUGGUGUGUGGACAGAGCUUUACUCGUAGUUCAAGUCUUCAUUCUCAUCAAAGGACUCACACGGGGGAGAAACCCUAUAUCUGCCUGGAGUGUGGACAGAGCUUUGCUCGUAGUUCAGGACUACGUUCCCAUCAAAGGACUCACACUGGGAGAAACCCUAUACAUGCCUGGAGUGUGGACAGAGCUUUGCUCAUAGUUCAGGUCUACGUUCACAUCAAAGGACUCACACUGGGGAGAAACCCUAUAAAUGCCUGGAGUGUGGACAGAGCUUCAGUGAUUUUUCAAUUCUACGUUCACAUCAAAGGACUCACACUGGGGAGAAACCAUAUAAAUGCCUGGAGUGUGGACAGAGCUUUACUCAGAGGGCAGGUCUACAUUCCCAUCAGAGGACUCACACUGGGGAGAAACCCUAUAAAUGCCUAGAGUGUGGACAGAGCUUCACUCAGAGCUCAGGUCUAUGUUCACAUCAAAGGACUCACACUGGGGAGAAACCCUAUAACUGCCUGGAGUGUGGACAGAGCUUUACUCGUAGUUCAGGUCUACGUUUGCAUCAAAGGACUCACACUGGGGAGAAACUGUAGAAAUGCAUGGAGUGUGGACAGAGCUUUUCAUGAAAAAACAUUAUACAUAGACAUCAUAGAAUUCACCCUGGAGAGAAUGGUGUUAAUUGACCCCAGAGUGUCAUUCUAACACGUAGAAAAGCAACUCUUGCAAAUUUUGGAAAUGAAAGCUCAAAGUUGGGACAUUUCAUCACAUGUGAGGUAUUCUAGAAAGAUUGAACUAAAAUACAGUGUUGCCUCACCUAUCGCGAGGGUUAGGUUCCAGGACCAGCUGCAAUAAGUGAAAAUCCGCGAAGUUGGGAUGCUAUAUAUUUAUACAUUAUUUUAGUAGUUAUACACUAUUUUAAGUCUUUAUAAACAAACUAGCUGUGCCCAGCCACGCGUUGCUGUGGCGAAGUAUGGUGGUAUGGGAAAUAAAGUAUUGUUGAAUUGGUGGUACAGUAGAGUCUCACUUAUCCAACAUUCUCUUAUCCAACGUUCUGGAUUAUCCAACGCAUUUUGUAGUCAAUGUUUUCAAUACAUUGUGAUAUUUUAGUGCUAAAUUCAUAAAUACUGUAAUUACUAUGUACCAUUAUUGCGUAUUGAACUACUUUUUCUGUCCAAUUUGUUGUAUAACAUGAUGUUUUGGUGCUUAAUUUGUAAAAUCAUAACUUAUUUGGUGUUUAAUAGGCUUCUCAUUAAUCUCUCCUUGUUAUCCAACAUAUUCGCUUAUCCAACGUUUUGCCGGCUCGUUUAUGUUGUAUAAGUGAGACUCUACUGUAGUUAAAGGUAAAGGGUAAAGGUUUUUCUGUGAAAUUAAGUCCAGUCGUGUCUGAGUCUGGGGGUUGGUGCUCAUCUGCAUUUGUAAGACGAGGAGCUGGCGUUGUCCGUAGACUCCUCCAAGGUCAUGUGGCUGGCAUGACUGCAUGGAGCGCUGUUACCUUCCCGCCGGAGUAGUACCUAUUCAUGUAUUCCCAUUUGCAUGUUUUCAAACUUCUGGGUUGGCAGAAGCUGGGGCUAACAGUGGUUGCUCUCUCCGCUCCCCCAAUUCAAACCUGUGGCCUUUUGGUCCAGAAGUUCAGUAGCUCAGAGUGGUGUUGUUUGUGAUACUUUAUGUGCUUGUGCUGUCUGUGGCCCUCAGAAAACAGGAUUUGCCAGAGUUUGGUGAUGGGAAUAGUUUGUUGGGAGGUGUUAGGUGGUCCUGAUUGUUUCCUGGAUGGAAUUCCUGUGUUUUUAGAGUGUUGCUCUUUAUUUACUGUUCUGAGAUGAGAGCGUGAUGAGCACGGAAUGGCCUUACACCUUCAAAGCCUGGGUGCUUCCCUCUCUGAGGGGGCGGGAAGGCUUUGCUGGGAGGUGUUAGGUGGUCCAGAUUGUUUACUGGAUGGGAAUUCCUGUGUUUUUAGAGUGUUGCUCUUUAUUUACUGUCCUGAGAUGAGAGAGUGAUGAGCACGGAAUGGCCUUGGACCUUCAAAGGCUGGCUGCUUCCCUGCCGGGGGGGGGGGAGGAUUCUUUGUUGAGCAGCCAGGCCUUGCAGUUGUGAGGGGAGGAAAGGAAAUGGGCCGUUACUUGUUUGGUGAGUCCGGUGGCGGGGGGGGGGGAGUUUAAAAGGGAUCUUCCGUGGGUUUUGAGUAGUUUUUUCAUUGGGUAGGUCCCUGAGGGGGGGGCAUUUUGAACCCACCUUGCUACUCCUGAGAAGUAUUAGGCUGUGGGAUGGUGGGGAGGAUGGCGACAGUGUCUGAGGGGGGGGGGGGGGAAGGAGUGUGCGCGGGAGCGGCCGUUGGAGGGAGGGGUGUGGAUUGCUGUGUGUGCACGCGGGCUGGCCUCUUGGGCAUGCGCAGAUGGAGCAUUCCGGUUUUUGGGUUUUUUUUGGCCCCAUGGAGGUUUGGGAUGUGUAGUUUGUUUGUAAGAACGUAGAGACGUGGAUGAGGGGUUGUGUUGUCAAUUUCCUAGGUUGGGGGGGCCUUUCGUUUUGUUGUUUUGCUCGGUGGAGCGAUGCCAUUCUCCUUUUAUAUAUACAGAUAGCGUGUUGAUAAAUCACCUCCUUCUCCCAUUGCUGCCUGGGCUCCUUUUCUCUCCCUUCAGCUUCACCUUCCUCCCUUCCUUAGGCUGUAAAUUGUAAUUUUUUUAUGAUUUAUAAUAGUCUUUGAGAGUUUAUUGAAAAACCACGAAACAGCGAAUCCGCAAACAGUGAACCGCGAAGUAGUGAGGGAACUCUGUGUGUUCCAUUCUGGAAAUAAUUACGGUAUAUUAUCUAAAGGGAGUAGAAUAAUGAGAAAUAAAAAUUAACAGAUAGAAUGAGGCUUUUGGGUACGUGUUCACGUCUGUUUGUUAGUUCAGUUGUGUGUCUAGGUAAGUAACUGUUUCGCUGGUCUGUUUGUUUCUGAUUUAGUUUUGUAUCUCAUGUAGUAGUUAAUUUCAUGGGUAGUUGAAGCAUUAUAUAUAAUUUCUGCCUUUUUGUAUUGUUGCUUUUAAUCUCCCUUUUUGGAUUUUUUAUUUGCAACAAAGAGGGGGAUUUAUAAGGGUCAAAACUGCUGAAACUGGAGGGGUUGGUAGACCUGUUUUUGGCCCAAAAUGGGGUUUAAUGUUUAAUCUAGAGCGCCUUUGAACAUCAUUGCCUUCUUCAGUGUUGGUGGCAUGGGUUUGGAUUCCGUUGUCUUGCUUCAGACAUUAUUAUUCCUAUUAUGCUUUAUACAACAUGUAUUCACUGCUUUAAUCACCAUCUGUCCUUUUUAACUAUCUUGUCUAUCCCCAAACCCUUCCAGUAUGUUCUUUUGGUCAUCAGGGUUGUGUGUGCUAAGUUUGGUCCACAUCCAUCAUUGGUGGGCUCUCUGGAUGCAGGGCGAACUACAACUCCCACACGGGUGGGUCAGUCCCCAAAACCCUCCUGUAUGUUCUGUUGUUCCUGGGGUUUCUGUGUGCCAGGUUUGGUCCUGAUCCGUCAUUGGUGGGCGUUGCAGAUCCAACGUUGGCUGGAUUCAGUGCUCUCUGGAUAAGGGUGAACUACGACUCCCACAUGCCAAGGUCAAUCACUCCCAAACCUCACCUGUAUGCACAGCUGGCCAUGUUGGGUCUGUGUGCCAAGUUUGGUCGUUGGCUUGUUUUGUUCUGGACCCAAAGGGUUCCUGUUCUUUGGAUGCCGAGUGUUCAGGGAAGAGUGAGGUCUGUGAGAUCCAGGAGGCCCUUCAGAGACCACGUCUGGUUGCUUUGCUGGGAAGUCAUGCAAACACGUUCGCACAAACGGGAAGGUUGGAAGAUUUGGUUCAUACAGAUUUUAAGUUAAUAACUUUUAAAAAAUAGAAGAUAAAAUUUGUAUACUUGAAUUAUUAAGUCUGGAGUUGAAAACAUGACACAAUUCAGACAAUGGUUUGUGGCACAACAACAACACUUCUAGUAGUCAACGGGAUAUUCUGGAUGCCUUAUUUUAUGUCAAGUAAGAUAUUGUGCUCAGAAACAAAGAUUUAUAAAGGAAGCACCACAAUGGAUAUAAUACAAUGGGAAGCACGGGAAGUAGAUCACAUGUGCCCACCACACCUCACACAGAUAGGACCACGUGUGCUAUAAACAUGGAAGAUGGUACAUGUAGGUUACCCAUAACAUGGGUAAUGGAAUACAUUCACACAAGAGACAGGAAUGGGAUGUCUUUGUGUUACUGCUGUUCAGCUAAUGUUAUGGUCUGAUGGAAAUAUAAUAGAACCUGAUAAACAAAAAAUUGGUUGAAAUGUAAAUGUAACAUAAACUUUGUUCAAGAUGAUGAAACUGGGAAUUUGAUGUACGUGAUAGAAAAUGGAGACAAACUCCAUCACUGGUUAAAGUGUGUCAUAUUGGGCAAAUUUGCUCUCUAGGUGCAUCUUCGUAGUAGUAGUUCACUAGCUGCCGGGUGAACUACAGCUCCCACCAUGGUGGUCAGUUCCCCCCAAACCCCUCCAGUAUAUUUAGUUAGUCUUGGUGGUUCUGUGUGCCACGUUUGGUCCCGGUCUAUUGUCGGUGGUGGUCCCAGUGUCUCUGGAUGCAGGUGAACUAUAAAUCCCAGUGUCUACAACUCCCAAAGGCCCGCCCAAAGCCUACCAGUCUUCCAAAUUGGCCAUAUCGGGUACGCUUGCCAGGGAUAUCCGCACCAGGCUUAUCUUACCUUUGAUACACAAGCACCCAGGCCGUUCAGGACACUUUUAUACCUCCCUGCUACUUGUAGAUACUCAUUUAGCUACAACCGACAAUGUUGCAAAGUUUUGUGCGUACAAAGUCCGCCAGGGGAUGAUGGUCCCAAAAGUGACCCAUGUCUCCAGUGAUCCUCUCUCUUGGUUCUAUAACUGGCUGAUGGACCUCUGCAUUGUAUGUUUUGCCCCGUUUCCCCUUCCGCUCCUCACCCCUCCCCCCCCCCCCCCCCCCGGUUAUUGUGCUUUAAUGUCUUUAUAUUUUAAAUGUACUAAACAUACCAAGUUUGUAUGUAACUGUGACCUUUAUUUCCUGUGCUGGUCUAUGACUGAAAUAAAUGAUAUGAUUUGAAAUUUGCAGAUCCAUUGUUGUUUGCAUUCACAGUGCUCUCUGUAUGUAGGUGAACUAUAAUUCCUAUAAAUCAAGGUGACUUUCCCCCAAAUCCCUCCUGCAUUUGUGUUGGUCAUGGGGGUUCUGUGUGCUAAGUUAGGCUCAGGGCCAUCCUUGGUGGAGUCCAGAGUGCUUUUUGAUUGUGGGUGAACUAUAAAUCCCAGUACGUCAAGGUGAAUUCCCCCACAAACCCCUCCAGCAUUUUCCUUUGGUCAUUAGUCAUCACUGGUUAAAGUGUGUCAUAUUGGGCAAAUGUGCUCUCUAGGUGCAUCAUCGUAGUAGCAGUAGUUCAUUAGCUGCCGGGUGAACUACAGCUCCCACCAUGGUGGGUCAGUUCCCCCCAAACCCCUCCAGUAUAUUUAGUUAGUCAUGGUGGUUCUGUGUGCCACGUUUGGCCCCGGUGUAUUGUUGGUGGUGGUCCCAGUGUCUCUGGAUGCAGGUGAACUAUAAAUCCCAGUAUCUACAACUCCCAAAGGCCCGCCCAAAGCCUACCAGUCUUCCAAAUUGGCCAUAUCGGGUAGACCUGUGCAUUGUAUGUUUUUGCCCUGUUUCCCCUUCCGCUCCCCCCCCCCACCCAAUUGUGCUUUAGUAUCUUAGUACAUUUUAUCUUUAGUACAUUUUAAAUGUACUAAACGUACCAAGUCUGUAUGUAACUGUGACCUUUAUUUCCUGUGCUGGUCUAUGACCGAAAUAAAUGAUGUGAUUUGAAA